CAGUCUGUUGUGGUGAAGAAAAACCUGAACCAUAUUGAAAGCUGAUCUAAGUUUGUGAGAGAUGAAUCCUGACCAAAUGAACAAGAACCCGGAUACAAGCAGCUAAUAUGAGAUUCCUCUGUAGCUGGUUGGCCAUGUGGCUCUGUUCCACUAGCACCGACUCAGCUGCAGCAGACCUGGCUGAACUCUAACAUUUACAUGGUACCAGCCCCUUUGUCUGAAGCCUACCUCACUGGGGCUUCAAGCGUACCAAGUUAGACUGAAAAGCUUCAACUAGAACCGGCAGAAUGCUUGUUGAUGGUCUUGUCCACCUGGAAACAGUUAGCCUGAGUAUGAUGGAAAGUAGUGGUGCUGGGGAGAAAAACAAAAGGAGCACGAUGAUGAUGACGAUCGAUGAUAAAGAUGAAGUCAAGAGCUGAAGAGGAAAUGUUUGUUGUGGAGUUUAGAAAGAAAAGGAAAAUGAAUGACAAAUUUGAAAAGAGGGAAAACAGAACAAUGUGCAAUGGUGACCCGAUCCAAGGACCUGGAUUUGUUCUGCUCCGAGAGUCCUGUUUGCUUUGGCUUUGCGUCGAUUGGGCCAUCUGGUUCCCCACCUCGCCUCCUUCUAGCUCCGAAAAAACCAGACAGAGUCCAGAAACAAGGUAUCACUCAAUAAAAAUA